CUGUUACAAAAAGGAGUUAGAAAGGAGUCUACAUACCAUGGCCAUUACUGACUAUCUCUCAUGACCUAUGUGUUACAGUCUGUUUCAAAGUGUCCCAUACAGAGUUAAACUAUUAAUCCAAAAGACGCUCGCUGUAUGUGACUUAUGUGUGGUUAUUCUGGAUUCCUGACCUUGGCUUGUUCUGAUUACUUUUUGUCAGCUGCCUGUACCAACUUAUUGGCUUGUUAAACCGACUACUCUGACUUCUGAAUCCUCUGACCUUGACCGGACCCUGCUUACAUUAAGUCCAACUACUCUAAGGUCAUUAUAAAAUGACUACAUAAAACAACUCAAAAUACCGAAAUUGGAAUAUGC